rnacentral:rRNA from 1 species
AGUGAACGCUGGCGGUAGGCCUAACACAUGCAAGUCGAACGGCAGCACAGGAGAGCUUGCUCUCUGGGUGGCGAGUGGCGGACGGGUGAGGAAUACAUCGGAAUCUACUUUUUCGUGGGGGAUAACGUAGGGAAACUUACGCUAAUACCGCAUACGACCUACGGGUGAAAGCAGGGGACCUUCGGGCCUUGCGCGAUUGAAUGAGCCGAUGUCGGAUUAGCUAGUUGGCGGGGUAAAGGCCCACCAAGGCGAGGAUCCGUAGCUGGUCUGGGAGGAUGAUCAGGAACACUGGAACUGCGACACGGUCCAGACUCCUACGGGAGGCAGCGGUGGGGAAUAUUGGACAAUGGGCGCAAGCCUGAUCCAGCCAUACCGCGUGGGUGAAGAAGGCCUUCGGGUUGUAAAGCCCUUUUGUUGGGAAAGAAAUCCAGCUGGCUAAUACCCGGUUGGGAUGACGGUACCCAAAGAAUAGCACCGGCUAACUUCGUGCCAGCCGCCGCAGUAA